GACGAACGCUGGCGGCGUGCUUAACACAUGCAAGUCGAACGGAAAGGCCCUGCUUUUGUGGGGUGCUCGAGUGGCGAACGGGUGAAUAACACGUGAGUAACCUGCCCUUGACUUUGGGAUAACUUCAGGAAACUGGGGCUAAUACCGGAUAGGAGCUCCUGCUGCAUGGUGGGGGUUGGAAAGUUUCGGCGGUUGGGGAUGGACUCGCGGCUUAUCAGCUUGUUGGUGGGGUAGUGGCUUACCAAGGCUUUGACGGGUAGCCGGCCUGAGAGGGUGACCGGCCACAUUGGGACUGAGAUACGGCCCAGACUCCUACGGGAGGCAGCAGUGGGGAAUAUUGCACAAUGGGCGGAAGCCUGAUGCAGCAACGCCGCGUGCGGGAUGACGGCCUUCGGGUUGUAAACCGCUUUCGCCUGUGACGAAGCGUGAGUGACGGUAAUGGGUAAAGAAGCACCGGCUAACUACGU
rnacentral:rRNA from 1 species